CAGUCGCCGCGGGAAUACGUAGGGUGCGAGCGUUAAUCGGAAUUACUGGGCGUAAAGCGUGCACAGGCGGUUGUGUAAGACAGGUGUGAAAUCCCCGGGCUUAACCUGGGAACUGCGCUUGUGACUGCACAGCUAGAGUGUGGCAGAGGGGGGUGGAAUUCCACGUGUAGCAGUGAAAUGCGUAGAGAUGUGGAGGAACACCGAUGGCGAAGGCAGCCCCCUGGGCCAAUACUGACGCUCAUGCACGAAAGCGUGGGGAGCAAACAGGAUUAGAUACCCGAGUAGUCCCUGUCUCUUAUAA
rnacentral:rRNA from 1 species